rnacentral:siRNA from 1 species
UAGUAGGUAUUUGGUUUACUGC